GACGUAGGGGGCAAGCGUUGUCCGGAUUUACUGGGCGUAAAGCGCACGUAGGCGGCUUUGUAAGUUAGAGGUGAAAGCCCGGGGCUCAACUCCGGAAUUGCCUUUAAGACUGCAUCGCUAGAAUUGUGGAGAGGUAAGUGGAAUUCCGAGUGUAGAGGUGAAAUUCGUAGAUAUUCGGAAGAACACCAGUGGCGAAGGCGACUUACUGGACACAUAUUGACGCUGAGGUGCGAAAGCGUGGGGAGCAAACAGG
rnacentral:rRNA from 1 species